rnacentral:lncRNA from 13 species
GUGCAACCUUCGCUCACUACAAUCUCUUGGUUUCAAGCAAUCCUCCUGGCUUAGCUUCCCCAGUAGCUGGGAUUACAGGCGCAGGCCACCGCACCCCGCUAAUUUUGUAUAUUUAGUAGUGACAGGGUUUUACUAUGUUGGCAGGCUGGUCUGGAACUCCUGACCUGAGAUGAUCCGCCCACCUUGGCCUCCCAAAGUGCUGGGAUUACAGGCAUGAGCCACUGCGUCCUGCCAGUAGAGCAGUGUUUACUUUGAAUGAAAAACAAUGACCUGUAAUUUUUUUUCUAGAAUUGACAUAAUACAAAACAAAUUGCUCCGGACCCGGUAUCGUGUACUUUUAUUUUUUUAACCGCAGCUCCCUUCCGCAGGCUGAACACCUUAGGGACCAGCAACCAGAUGGUGUCGUUUGCAGUGAAGAUCGAACUCGAGUUGUAGCCGAAUUGGAGAGGAGAGAGUGACAUGUGCGCCCCCUUCCUGCGGUCGGUAGAUGCACCAUGGGAAGCUCGAGGACCCACACUUGGUGAUCAGGCUGCUCCCAUGAAAGGUCAAGAGAAUAUGGUUCCCCUUGGUGCUGGCCACAGUGGAAGACCAGGCCCCACCCAGCCUCACUUCAGAGGCAGGAACAGCAAGGAGCACGGGACAGGGGGAUCCACUCUGUGUUGCAUCAAAGAGUUUCCCUCAAGUUGGCCAGGCUGGAGCACAGUGGUGCAAUCUUGA